GACAUGCAAGUCGAACGGAAGUACGUUAUAAAAAAGGAUUGAAAGAUUUAUCUGAUUGAGAUUUUAUAACAAUGGCUUUAGUGGCGGACUGGUGAGUAACGCGUGAGCAACCUGCCUACUAGAGGGGAAUAACAGUGAGAAAUCAUUGCUAAUACCGCAUAUGCCAUGAACAUCACAUGAUGAAAAUGGGAAAAGAGUAAUCUGCUAGUAGAUGGGCUCGCGUCUGAUUAGAUAGUUGGUGGGGUAACGGCCUACCAAGUCGACGAUCAGUAGCCGGACUGAGAGGUUGAACGGCCACAUUGGGACUGAGAUACGGCCCAGACUCCUACGGGAGGCAGCAGUCGGGAAUAUUGCGCAAUGGAGGAAACCCUGAUGCAGCGACGCCGCGUGAGCGAAGAAGUAUUUCGGUAUGUAAAGCUCUAUCAGCAGGGAAGAAGAAAUGACGGUACCUGACUAAGAAGCACCGGCUAAAUACGUG
rnacentral:rRNA from 1 species